rnacentral:pre_miRNA from 1 species
CACAUACUCCCUCCGUCCGGAAAUACUUGUCAUCAAAAUGGAUAAAAGGGAUGCAUCUAGACGUAUUUUAGUUCUUGAUACAUCUCCUUUUAUCCAUUUUGAUGACAAGUAUUUUCGGACGGAGGGAGUAUUUC